GGUAGAGUGUAUUCAGGGUUGAUUCCAAACAUCAUCUAUCACAGGUGACAAUGGCUCUGACCUGUUUUCUGCUUCUGGUUUCUCUUAUAGGCAGCAUCACAGCAGAUGUCAUCAAAUCAACUAAAUCAGAUGAGAAGGCAUUGGAAGGAGAAAAUGUUAUGCUGUCGUGUAACUACACUGUUUCAGCAUUUACUCUACAGUGGUAUCGCCAGUAUCCCAGAUCAGCUCCACAGUUUCUGGUGCUCACUGCUAAUACUGCUGGAGAAAAUCAGAAAUCAAAAGUACAACAGCGAAUGUCUGUGAGGGUGAAUGAAGAGAAAACUCAAGUCUCCCUGCAGAUCUCCUCUGUUCAAGUUUCUGACUCUGCACUGUACUACUGUGCUCUGGAGCCCACAGUGACACCAAACCACAGACUGACAUACAAAAACCUUACAAAGGGUUUGAGACGUACUGUACUUCUCAGUUAUAACAAAUGUGUAUCUACUUCAGCCGAGCCAGGAGUAAUCUUCCUUAGUAACAAUGACCCAGUACCCUUGCUAACACCAGACCGAUGUUCUUUUUUGGGGCUUUUUGUAUGAAUUGAUCUGGACACUGUCAGGUGAUGAUUGGUACCUGAGUUUUCAGUGAUUUUGGAAAUUCUCAUGAGUUAGAGGAUGGCCAAAUGGAUCUGCAGCGCAAAUUCAAAUGUGCUCAAUGGCAGGCUACUGUCCCUUUACUGACUUAGACAUACACAGAAAUAAUUAAAUAAAUGCAUGAAUACCUCAUCCUCAUAAUAAUAUUGUGGACAAAAAUAUACAUUUCUGGGGGGCGCUGUGGCGCAACUGGUUACAGUGCCCGUACCAUAAUCUCAUAACCACAGUCCGACCCAGGUCAUUUCCUGAUACCACCCCAUCUCUCUCUCCCACUCACUUCAUGUCACUCUCUCCACUGUCCUGUCAAAUUAUGGCAAAAGCCCCACAAAAGAAAAUGUUUGUAUAUAUAUAUACAGUUAAGAACCUGGUGACCUUCUCAAAGAAAAAGGGGCUACAUUAACAUUCUGGAGGAAAAGAUAAGGCAGUGUGCCGAGAGACUUACCCCAAUAGGUGGCAUUGGACUAUUAAACCACACAUUGAUCCAAAACAUACAGCCAAACAAAGCAAGAAAUGGUUAACAGAGAACACUAUCAACAUUU